ensembl:lincRNA Gm2018 predicted gene 2018
GGGGAAAGCGACUGCACUGGUCGCCGCGGCGGCGGCGGCGGCGGCGGCUCCGGCAGCGCCCAGGACUGUGCCCCGCCGGACCCAGAUGCCCCGGGAAGCCGACAGUCAGGCUGCCCGCCGGAGCUCACAGGCGGCGGCGGCGCGGCAGCGGCGGUGGCGGCGGCGGCGGUGGCGCUUGGCAGGCGACCCUUUGUGGGUGCUUUGCUCGAUGAAGAACAAGAGUUCUGACGAGUUCAGAGGUUGUUGGGAGAGAAUGGAAAAGUAAGCAGAGGACUAUAACCCACAUGUCAAUGCCACGAUGACGUAUGUCAGUAUGUAGGGGUCCAAAAGGGAUCCCCAAGAAAAUUCAGUGCUCAAGAAGAGAGAGCUGAAAGGUCAUUAGGUCAUUAGACCACAAACCAGAGGAGUGAGGACUGCUCCUUGGGCUUGGUGACAUUUGGCCUAUGGAGAAAGGGAUAAAAUCUGCCUGAAAUGUGGA